UUGGAGGGCAAGUCUGGUGCCAGCAGCCGCGGUAAUCCAGCUCCAAUAGCGUAUAUUAAAGUUGUUGCAGUUAAAAAGCUCGUAGUUGAAUUUCGGGAUUUGUCAGUGGUCGGCCUUCACUGUCCGUAUUGACUUGAUGGAUUCUUACCUUCUGAAUAACCAGCAUGCUAUUGAGUUAGUGCGUUGGGGAAGCAGAUCUAUUACCUUGAAAAAAUUAGAGUGCUUAAAGCGAGCUAGUGCUUGAAUAGAUUAGCAUGGAAUAAUAAAUAGGACGGCAUGGUUCUAUUUUGUUGGUUUCUAGGAUCACCGUAAUGAUUAAUAGGGAUAGUUGGGCAUUAGUAUUCAAUUGUCAGAGGUGAAAUUCUUGGAUUAUUGAAGACUAACUUCUGCGAAAGCAUUUGCCAAGGAUGUUUCAUUAAUCAAGAACGAAAGUUAGGGAUCGAAGACGAUCAGAUACCGUCGUAGUCUUAACCAUAACUAUGCCGACUAGGAAUCGGACGAUGUUAAUUUAUAAUGACUCGUUCGGCACCUUACGGGAAAC
rnacentral:rRNA from 2 species